CACGCCGUAAACGUUGGGCACUAGGUGUGGGGUUCUAUCAACGGAUUCCGUGCCGUAGCUAACGCAUUAAGUGCCCCGCCUGGGGAGUACGGCCGCAAGGCUAAAACUCAAAGGAAUUGACGGGGGCCCGCACAAGCGGCGGAGCAUGUGGCUUAAUUCGAUGCAACGCGAAGAACCUUACCUGGGCUGAACUAUGCAGGAAAAGCAGUAGAAAUACUGUGUCCUUCGGGGUCUGCGAUAGGUGG
rnacentral:rRNA from 1 species